rnacentral:lncRNA from 1 species
AUUUGUAUAUGCUCAGGAACAUAAUUUACUAUUAAACAGGGCCAAGAUCAGCUCCGAAGAAAUUAUUCUUCCGCAGAAGCGGACUCUUCGACUGCAUUAUAUGCACGGUCCAGCACUGGUCUUGUGGGUUCGGAGGAGGAGGCUCCUGAACCUCCAUAGACUCAAGGGAGCUCCGUGCAUUUGAAGAGUCGGAGAUGGUGGAA